ensembl:lncRNA
AUUUAAUACAUUAACAAAUUUUCUUUCCAACAGCUUUUGUUCAUGAGAUUCAAGCACAAGGUGAGUCAUCGAUGUUCCACUUUUCACAUAGAUUUUCUGUGACUGCGUAUUUGUUUUUUAUUUAAACCAAAAAUUACUUUCAGGUUCAUAAUAAUAGUCAUGAAACUGAGUAUUAAAUAUAACAGAACUGCUUUUAAUGUCACAUCAGAGUUCACCUGCUGAAGUUAAAGUGAGAUGUUUUUACACUGCAGAAAUAAAUUCAACGUCUGCUGACAGUGAACCAUCCUCCAUCACCAUACAAAGUGAGAGACUGCUCCUCCUGUGACUGGAUAAGUUAUCAUACAGUGUGUUAGACAUGUUUAUCUUUAUAAAGCUGCAGGUUUUCUUUGAGAAAAUCUUUUUAGGAGUGUUUUUCUUACAUAUUUUCUUACACCACCAAAGACAGCACACAGGAUUCUAAACGUGACCAGUUACAGUUAAUUAGAAAAUACAAUGACUGUUACAGCUCAGCUUUUAUGAGCAUUGUUUUUGUUGCACUGGUAAAACAUGCAAUAUUCUUGCAUAUUAAUGAGACUCCAUUGAUCUUCAUACAGGUCAGAAACCACAGAUGAGUGUGCAGCAUUUUAAUGGAGAACAAGUUCAGUUUGUUUGCUCUCUGCCUGGAUCUGUGAAAUACAAUACAAGAUGUAAUCUGUACUUUGGAGAAGCAAGUCGUCCAGUCCUGACAGCAACUGUCUGGAAGAAAAGCAGCACAGAAACCAAACAGAGGUUCUGCCAGUUUUAUGUCUCAAUUGAUGAUUUUUUGAGACAUCUACAUUUUGUUCAACAAAAAGAAGCCAGCUGUGAUUACACUUUGAAAAGGGAACCCAGGUCUUUGUCUCCUCGCAGUGAUCAAUACAACUUAACAGCUAUUCUGGAAAGUGAAUCACCAAAGAUCAACAAACCGCCAUCUAUCAUGACCACAGGUAGGACAUACAGUACACUUAACUAACAACCCAGAGCAUCAUCACACAUCACUUCUUUAAAAUUUCUUUAACAUUUUAUUGAACAUUAAUGGAACAGAUUCAAGUCUCAACAAACCCAGUGCUUCAACUUCUACCACUUCAGUGAACUCACUGUCAGGUACAGUGUUAUGGUACGGACAUACACCAAGAAACACCAUUUGGCAUUUCAUUCCCUUUACUUGGUUUGAAUAAUGUAAUAAAAAAAGAAGCAUGAAUUUCUUUACAGAGAAUAGCAGCAUAUGUGACAUUAUAGUAUUUAUUUGAUAUUGUUCUAUCUUAAAGGAUUUGCUGCUCUUAAUCUGAGCCCUACAACUGGUGUGAACACUCCUAUCAAAACAACUCAGUAUAAAACAUCAGGAGACAGUACCACAGGUGAGACCGAGUGCAUCGAUAAUGUCAAGAUAAAUUGAAAUGUCCUUGUUUUAUUUCAGCAGGACAGACACUGAUCUAUUGACCAUGCAUACAAUGAGUGUGAUUAAAUUCUCAGAAUGUUAAAAAAAAUCUCAACGUUCACUCUAAAAUUCUGAUGUUCAUCAGGAACAGUAAAUAUUCACCAUGUUCAGCAUCUUAAAUAAAUGGCAGUACUUUGUCACCAGUUGAUGUUGAAAUGAAGUUACUAAUUUUGCUGGCACUAACCUUUAGUCUCCAACACUGAUGCAAAUCACCAGAUGCAUUUUAUCUGGAGAUAUUUUGUGUGUUUAAUAUUCUUUAUUAUGAAUAUUCAUGAUCAUAGUUGUUUUUUUAAACUGUAGAUAUUUUGGGAAGAGAAUCAAGAAUGGCCAGUACAAAAGUGGCAUUUAGUCUGGCCACUGAUAGGACAUACAAUACAUUGAAAUACAGUCCAGAACAUCAUCACACACAACUUCUUUAAAGAAACUCAUUUUUUGUGCAUUUUUUGAAACCGAUUCUCGAGUUUCAGCAGUCCUAGUGUUUUCAGUCUUACCACGUCUGUGAAUUCAUCUUCAGGUAACUGCAUGGACAGUAAUAGUGUAAAAUAUCUUCUACAAAUAUAUUUCUACAUUAAUGCAAACCAACUCAAAAAAAAAAAAAAAGCAAACCGACACUCAGCAAUUGCAGUAUAUGUUAUUUAAAACUGAUUUUGCAAAAGCACUUUACCUAACAACCUUAGGCAGCUUUUUUAAAUUUUGAUCCAAAUAUUUUUUUUUCUAAACAGAUUCAUACAAGACUAGUGCUACAGUGACAGUUACUACAGUCAAAAGUAAGACAAAGUACAAUAAAAGAAUAACCAGAAUAUUAUAAAAGUCAUCUAUUUUAUUUUUUAUUUCAAAAGUACAUUUUUUUCACCAGGUCCAACUUUUACUUGGUGUCAUACUUCCACCCAUGCCACUGCUACCUCAGGUAUCUUUUUUUUUUUUUUUUUAAACAAAAUGGUAACAUACACUAUAUUACCAAAAGUGAAUCUUACUCAGAGCCUAUUGUUAGUCAGUGGUGCUAGUUUCAGUCAUUAUACAGAUGUACUGUUUAUAAGGUUGGGGAAACCUUUAUCACAGUAGAUGUCUUUCUGAAAGCGCUGUAACUAAGUUUAAGAAUAUAAUCC